AAGCUUCUCGAAAUGUUCACAGCAUGUGCAAGGCACAAGUUUCCUAAUUUACUUUGGAGAUCCAGCUGUUCCUCUGCAGACCCAAAGUAUCUACUCCAAGCAGCCCAGACUGCUGUUUCCCUUUUGAAUGGUAAAUUGAGAAAAGAAAAGAGAAGUGAAGCCUAAGGAAGAAGGAAAUGUAGAAGAUAAAAAAGGAGAAAAAUUAAGAGUCACCAAAGACAAGAGAUGAAUGAAGAUAAGAAAUUAACAUUCAAAAGGUACCUGAAUGCCACAGCACUAAGGAAAAGGCUCUGAAUUCACACCAUCUUGCAGCACAUCAAUCACACGAGGUGUCUUCUGAGUUUCACUUACUAACUUCAGGAGCAGACAAAAUUGCACAGAAUUUGCCCCCACCCCUGAUUUUAAAUGACAGCACAAAAAAGCCAUCUAUAGGACCCAGAAUAUUAAUUGCUUGAAUAUAAAAUGUAAUUUAGAAGAUAUGAAAAGACAAGAGAGCAUGAGCCUGCUCUGAGUCACUCUCCUCAGUCAAACUGAAGGAGUGCAAUUUACAUUACCCCCCUUGGUUUAUACUUGAAUUGCAAAGUUUAACAUGAAUG